rnacentral:lncRNA from 1 species
CGCGCGGCGGGCGGCGGGCGGCGGGCGGCGGGCGGCGGGUGGGGGCGGGCCUGCGAGCAGGGCUUCUGGCGGCUUUCCAGGUCGGCGCACUAAUACGGGCGAUGAGGCUUCGCGGCUCCAGUCUGACUGACGCCGACUGGAGCCGCCGCUGCCGCCGCCGCCGCUACAGCCGCUGUCUCGGUCGCCGCCGCCGCCGCCGCCGCCGCCGGGCCCUGCAGGCGCUGGGCGCGCUCAGCCAGGCGUUAAUGAGUAAUCAGAAAAUAUUCACAGACGUCAACUACUAUAUCUCUGAUUGCCCAAGACCAUGGAAUGAGAAAGAAGAGGGGUUUUUGUUGUUAAUGAAACAUUGCUAAGGAUUCUAGAAGUAAUAAACAACUGCUGCCCCAAACUACCACUGUCAGAGAAAAUUGAUAUGUUUACAUGAUUCGGCAUUAAGUGGAAGAAAGGAUCUGAAAGGCAGGCAGAAUGCCCGGA